rnacentral:rRNA from 1 species
GAGUUUGAUCAUGGCUCAGGAUAAACGCUGGCGGCGUGCAUGAGACAUGCAAGUCGAACGGACGAUCAGGGCUUGCUCUGAUCGUUAGUGGCGGACGGCUGAGUAACGCGUAGGUGACCUGCCCCGAAGUGGGGAAUAACUGCCCGAAAGGGUGGCUAAUACCGCAUGUGGUGGUGUGUUCAUUCACACCAGUAAAGCCGCAAGGCGCUUCGGGAGGGGCCUGCGUCCGAUUAGCUCGUUGGUGGGGUAACGGCUCACCAAGGCGACGAUCGGUAGGUGGUCUGAGAGGACGAUCACCCAGACUGGGACUGAGACACGGCCCAGACUCCUACGGGAGGCAGCAGUCGGGAAUUUUGCGCAAUGGACGAAAGUCUGACGCAGCAACGCCGCGUGAGGGAUGAAGGCCUUCGGUUGUAAACUCUUUUAUCAGGGAAGAUAAUGACGGUACCUGAUGAAUAAGUCACGGCUAACUACGUGCCAGCCGCCGCCGU